UACGGAGGGUGCAAGCGUUGUCCGGAUUCAUUGGGCGUAAAGGGCGCGUAGGCGGCGGGGUAAGUCUGGUGUGAAAUCUCGGAGCUCAACUCCGAAACUGCACUGGAUACUGCUCUGCUAGAGGGCUGGAGAGGAGAUCGGAAUUCACGGUGUAGCAGUGAAAUGCGUAGAUAUCGUGAGGAAGACCAGUGGCGAAGGCGGAUCUCUGGACAGCUCCUGACGCUGAGGCGCGAAGGCUAGGGGAGCAAACGGG
rnacentral:rRNA from 1 species